rnacentral:ncRNA from 1 species
ACAUCAUGCAGGAGAGAGCGGUUUUAUGCCGCCGCCGAAGGCGCAAGCGCACCCGCAAUCGCUCAGGCAAAAGGACUGCAU